rnacentral:rRNA from 1 species
GAUCCUGGCUCAGAUUGAACGCUGGCGGCAUGCUUUACACAUGCAAGUCGAACGGUAACAGGCCGCAAGGUGCUGACGAGUGGCGAACGGGUGAGUAAUGCAUCGGAACGUGCCCAGUCGUGGGGGAUAACGCAGCGAAAGCUGCGCUAAUACCGCAUACGAUCUAUGGAUGAAAGCGGGGGAUCGCAAGACCUCGCGCGAUUGGAGCGGCCGAUGCCAGAUUAGGUAGUUGGUGGGGUAAAGGCUCACCAAGCCGACGAUCUGUAGCUGGUCUGAGAGGACGACCAGCCACACUGGAACUGAGACACGGUCCAGACUCCUACGGGAGGCAGCAGUGGGGAAUUUUGGACAAUGGGCGCAAGCCUGAUCCAGCAAUGCCGCGUGCAGGAAGAAGGCCUUCGGGUUGUAAACUGCUUUUGUACGGAACGAAACGGUCCUGGUUAAUACCCGGGGCUAAUGACGGUACCGUAAGAAUAAGCACCGGCUAACUACGUG